rnacentral:lncRNA from 1 species
UUCUGUCAUGUUCUCCAAAUUUACAAAAAACUCAAAUAAAAUGCUUUGCAUUUUUGUACAUUUUUUGCCCGUUCUUUGGGAACCAUAUUGAUGGCAUUUUUAUUAUGCCCCAGUCGUGUGCUACGAAUUUAUUUGAAUUGAGGGAGGAGAGCAUCAGAACACGGACAGGACGGACACGACAGGGUCUGGUCUGCGAAAUGGUUUUCAU